rnacentral:rRNA from 1 species
GCGUGAGUGAUGAAGGCCUUAGGGUCGUAAAGCUCUUUCGCCAGGGAUGAUAAUGACAGUACCUGGUAAAGAAACCCCGGCUAACUCCGUGCCAGCAGCCGCGGUAAUACGGAGGGGGUUAGCGUUGUUCGGAAUUACUGGGCGUAAAGCGCGCGUAGGCGGACCAGAAAGUUGGGGGUGAAAUCCCGGGGCUCAACCCCGGAACGGCCUCCAAAACUCCUGGUCUUGAGUUCGAGAGAGGUGAGUGGAAUUCCGAGUGUAGAGGUGAAAUUCGU